AAGUCAGGAAAAUCUGAGUCUGAGUCCUGCAUCUAACCUGGGGUUAGGAAACUCUCAAAGUCCCCCAGGUACGUACUCUAUCGAUCAGGACCUGAGUGCCAGGGCUCUACCCCCAAAUGAAGUCUUCUUUUCACUGAACAUUACCUAGAAGGGUUCAAGAAGGGGCGAGAGAAUCACUUUCUGAUGGAAGUGCUGGAAGGGCUACUCACACGUCAGCUGGGCUCGACGACCGCUGAAGUCCUUUUGGGUUUCAGGAUGGGGAUUCCAGUUUUUCACACCUGCCAUGGAUGAACUCUGACGCAUGGUUUGAACCCUGGACCAGAACAAUAACUCCCAAAGGACAAUUGAUUGUAACAUCCUGGGCUUUACCAACUUAAUCUAUGUGAUGGAAUUUAAUUUUUAUUAAAGAGCAGGAAAUUCAGUUAAAUUCUACUAAACAGAGCCCUGAAGCCAUCUUUUCCGAAGCAAGUCUCCUGUGCGUAGCGCAGCCUCUGCUCUUGCCUGUCUCAAGUGCAGUCUGACUGCUAUGAGCUGACUGCGUUUCACAAUAUCUCAGUCACAAAAGUAGAAAAUAAUCUGUUUUGCCCUUUCGGAAUAACGUGUUCUGUGCCAGAGGUCUGGCUGUGACUGUGGUCUGCUGUAUUAUAUACAACUUGACGAAGGUUUGAUACACUGUCACUCACCCCUGAGGGGAGCUUUUUGUCAAGGUUAAUAAGAAACACUGAAUUCGCUGAUGCACUGGAGGUUUGCUAUUGUGUAAGCCUCACUGUCCAAGCCUAGGGACCACCCCGUCCUUUGUCUCUUCAGUCAUUAAGCCCCUUUGGGGUUGGGAAUGAUAUGAUGAUUUUUCAAUCCCAGCUUUAUGGCGUACAGCCUGCGAGACUGUGGGUAAGUCACUUCCCUCCCCUAGACCUCAGUUCCCUCAUCAUAAAAUGAAGGAAUUGGAUUAGAUAACGUCUAAGGUACCUUCUAGCUGCAUAUGCUAUUGAUGCUGUUGUCCUGAGGGUCAGUGUAUUUCCCAAAAUUCUUGGGAAAUGUGAUUAAAUAUUGAAUAUGUUGUUUGUCCUUUAUUUAAACCCUUACCUUCCAUCUUAGAAUCAAUACCAUGUAUUGGUUCCAAGGCAGAGGGGGAGUAAAAAAAAAAAGCUAGACAAUGAGGUUAGGUGACUUGCCCAGGGUCACAGAGCUGGGAAGUGUCUGAGGCUAGAUUUGAACUCAGGACUUCCCAUCUAUAAACCUGGUGCUCUCUUCUAGGUACACUCUGUCCUUCAUUUCUGAAGAGGACC
rnacentral:lncRNA from 1 species